GGAAAUCUAAGAGGUUGUAACUAUCACUUUUUCUAGCCUAUAUAAGGUAGGUCAGUAAGGUAGCAAAAGCACAUCUGUUGUUUUUCUCCUUCAACUCUUUUUCCUGAUUCUUCCUGGGGGGAAACCUAAAACGGUGAAAAAUGAGCAUCACGGACGUGCUCAGUGCUGACGACAUUGCAGCAGCGCUCCAGGAAUGCCAAGACCCAGACACUUUUGAACCCCAAAAAUUCUUCCAGACGUCAGGCCUCUCCAAGAUGUCAGCCAGUCAGGUGAAGGAUGUUUUCCGGUUCAUAGACAAUGACCAGAGCGGGUACCUGGAUGAAGAAGAGCUUAAGUUUUUCCUCCAGAAGUUUGAGAGUGGUGCCAGAGAACUGACCGAGUCAGAAACCAAGUCCCUGAUGGCUGCGGCGGAUAAUGAUGGAGAUGGAAAAAUUGGAGCAGAGG
rnacentral:sRNA from 1 species